UUAGGGCCUCCAACAUUAGGCAUCAGUUAAGCAAGUCUCGUCCUCACUACUGACAUCUUACCACUAACAUGUUCCACCUGUUGAUUAAAAUUCAAUCAAGCAUCAAGCAUUACGCCAAGGUUAUGUUAAAUGGACUUACGAUAUCAUCAAUUUGUUUGGAGACAACUAUUAUGGCUACAUCGUCUGCAUAUGCCACUAGUUUGACACAUGCUGGAAUCUCCAGUCUUAAAAGGCCAUCAUACAUAAUAUUCCACAGCAAAGGAACAAGCACAUCAUCAUGAAGACAUAUGUUUUAGUAUCUGAGAUGCUAGGAUAUAUUCUUUGAGGGAGUUAUGUAAGCCCAGAUGUACAAAAGACACCAUCGCAAUCCAGUGUUCUGGUGAAUACAUUAAUACAAGACCAA